GUCUAUGGUCAUACCACCCUGAACGUGCCUGAUCUAUCUGAUCUUGGAAGCUAAGCAGGGUGGAGCCUGGUUAGUACUUGGAUGGGAGAAAAUAAAUUUUGUCUAGAUU
rnacentral:rRNA from 1 species